GCGCGGUUAGCUCAGCGGAAGAGCACCUGCCUUACACGCAGGGGGUCGCAGGUUCGAAUCCCGCACCGCGCACCA
rnacentral:tRNA from 2 species